CAGGAUUUCUCCUCCAGAAAGAAAUGUAAAGAAACUACAGAAAAAGGAGCAAUCUGAAGGAAGUCACCUUUCUCUCGGAUAGGAAUGUGCAGUUUAGACAAAAUGCAUAGGACCUGGCCUUGCUGUUAGUCAGGCAAAACAUCCCUGGGAUAAAAUACUGGCUCUGCUGAUAUCAAUGACAAAACAACCCUUGGCUUCAAACGGAGGAGAACUUCUCUCGUGACUUCCCCAACUCAGGAGAAGCUGAAGGCUUCACCCAGCAUGGGAAAACAAACAAUCUCGGUUGGGAUUGUACGGAAAACCAGCCCGCACCCCCUCCCCGCAACGAGCGCCGCGGUCAG
rnacentral:lncRNA from 1 species